rnacentral:rRNA from 1 species
GGUUAAGCGACUAAGCGUACACGGUGGAUGCCCUGGCAGUCAGAGGCGAUGAAGGACGUGCUAAUCUGCGAUAAGCGUCGGUGAGGUGAUAUGAACCGUUAUAACCGGCGAUUUCCGAAUGGGGAAACCCAGUGUGAUUCGUCACACUAUCAUUAACUGAAUCCAUAGGUUAAUGAGGCGAACCGGGGGAACUGAAACAUCUAAGUACCCCGAGGAAAAGAAAUCAACCGAGAUUCCCCCAGUAGCGGCGAGCGAACGGGGAGGAGCCCAGAGCCUGAAUCAGUGUGUGUGUUAGUGGAAGCGUCUGGAAAGGCGCGCGAUACAGGGUGACAGCCCCGUACACAAAAAUGCACAUACUGUGAGCUCGAUGAGUAGGGCGGGACACGUGGUAUCCUGUCUGAAUAUGGGGGGACCAUCCUCCAAGGCUAAAUACUCCUGACUGACCGAUAGUGAACCAGUACCGUGAGGGAAAGGCGAAAAGAACCCCGGCGAGGGGAGUGAAAAAGAACCUGAAACCGUGUACGUACAAGCAGUGGGAGCCUCUUUAUGGGGUGACUGCGUACCUUUUGUAUAAUGGGUCAGCGACUUAUAUUCUGUAGCAAGGUUAACCGAAUAGGGGAGCCGAAGGGAAACCGAGUCUUAACUGGGCGUUAAGUUGCAGGGUAUAGACCCGAAACCCGGUGAUCUAGCCAUGGGCAGGUUGAAGGUUGGGUAACACUAACUGGAGGACCGAACCGACUAAUGUUGAAAAAUUAGCGGAUGACUUGUGGCUGGGGGUGAAAGGCCAAUCAAACCGGGAGAUAGCUGGUUCUCCCCGAAAGCUAUUUAGGUAGCGCCUCGUGAAUUCAUCUCCGGGGGUAGAGCACUGUUUCGGCAAGGGGGUCAUCCCGACUUACCAACCCGAUGCAAACUGCGAAUACCGGAGAAUGUUAUCACGGGAGACACACGGCGGGUGCUAACGUCCGUCGUGAAGAGGGAAACAACCCAGACCGCCAGCUAAGGUCCCAAAGUCAUGGUUAAGUGGGAAACGAUGUGGGAAGGCCCAGACAGCCAGGAUGUUGGCUUAGAAGCAGCCAUCAUUUAAAGAAAGCGUAAUAGCUCACUGGUCGAGUCGGCCUGCGCGGAAGAUGUAACGGGGCUAAACCAUGCACCGAAGCUGCGGCAGCGACACUAUGUGUUGUUGGGUAGGGGAGCGUUCUGUAAGCCUGUGAAGGUGUACUGUGAGGUAUGCUGGAGGUAUCAGAAGUGCGAAUGCUGACAUAAGUAACGAUAAAGCGGGUGAAAAGCCCGCUCGCCGGAAGACCAAGGGUUCCUGUCCAACGUUAAUCGGGGCAGGGUGAGUCGACCCCUAAGGCGAGGCCGAAAGGCGUAGUCGAUGGGAAACAGGUUAAUAUUCCUGUACUUGGUGUUACUGCGAAGGGGGGACGGAGAAGGCUAUGUUGGCCGGGCGACGGUUGUCCCGGUUUAAGCGUGUAGGCUGGUUUUCCAGGCAAAUCCGGAAAAUCAAGGCUGAGGCGUGAUGACGAGGCACUACGGUGCUGAAGCAACAAAUGCCCUGCUUCCAGGAAAAGCCUCUAAGCAUCAGGUAACAUCAAAUCGUACCCCAAACCGACACAGGUGGUCAGGUAGAGAAUACCAAGGCGCUUGAGAGAACUCGGGUGAAGGAACUAGGCAAAAUGGUGCCGUAACUUCGGGAGAAGGCACGCUGAUAUGUAGGUGAAGCGACUUGCUCGUGGAGCUGAAAUCAGUCGAAGAUACCAGCUGGCUGCAACUGUUUAUUAAAAACACAGCACUGUGCAAACACGAAAGUGGACGUAUACGGUGUGACGCCUGCCCGGUGCCGGAAGGUUAAUUGAUGGGGUUAGCGGUAACGCGAAGCUCUUGAUCGAAGCCCCGGUAAACGGCGGCCGUAACUAUAACGGUCCUAAGGUAGCGAAAUUCCUUGUCGGGUAAGUUCCGACCUGCACGAAUGGCGUAAUGAUGGCCAGGCUGUCUCCACCCGAGACUCAGUGAAAUUGAACUCGCUGUGAAGAUGCAGUGUACCCGCGGCAAGACGGAAAGACCCCGUGAACCUUUACUAUAGCUUGACACUGAACAUUGAGCCUUGAUGUGUAGGAUAGGUGGGAGGCUUUGAAGUGUGGACGCCAGUCUGCAUGGAGCCGGCCUUGAAAUACCACCCUUUAAUGUUUGAUGUUCUAACGUUGGCCCCUGACCGGGGUUGCGGACAGUGUCUGGUGGGUAGUUUGACUGGGGCGGUCUCCUCCUAAAGAGUAACGGAGGAGCACGAAGGUUGGCUAAUCCUGGUCGGACAUCAGGAGGUUAGUGCAAUGGCAUAAGCCAGCUUGACUGCGAGCGUGACGGCGCGAGCAGGUGCGAAAGCAGGUCAUAGUGAUCCGGUGGUUCUGAAUGGAAGGGCCAUCGCUCAACGGAUAAAAGGUACUCCGGGGAUAACAGGCUGAUACCGCCCAAGAGUUCAUAUCGACGGCGGUGUUUGGCACCUCGAUGUCGGCUCAUCACAUCCUGGGGCUGAAGUAGGUCCCAAGGGUAUGGCUGUUCGCCAUUUAAAGUGGUACGCGAGCUGGGUUUAGAACGUCGUGAGACAGUUCGGUCCCUAUCUGCCGUGGGCGCUGGAGAACUGAGGGGGGCUGCUCCUAGUACGAGAGGACCGGAGUGGACGCAUCACUGGUGUUCGGGUUGUCAUGCCAAUGGCACUGCCCGGUAGCUAAAUGCGGAAGAGAUAAGUGCUGAAAGCAUCUAAGCACGAAACUUGCCCCGAGAUGAGUUCUCCCUGACUCCUUGAGAGUCCUGAAGGAACGUUGAAGACGACGACGUUGAUAGGCCGGGUGUGUAAGCGCAGCGAUGCGUUGAGCUAACCGGUACUAAUGAACCGUGAGGCUUAACCUU